GGAGCCGUAGCUCAGUUGGUUAGAGCGUUGCAUUGACAUUGCAAAGGUCUGUGGUUCAAAUCCACACGGCUCCA
rnacentral:tRNA from 2 species